GUUGCUAUAUGAUUUUUUUCUUAUAGCUGUCACAAGAUGAAGGUAGAGGCACAUUAUACAAAUACAGACCUGAAGAAGUAGAUAUUGAUGUAAGUAUUAGUAUGAUAUGUAUUGUCAGUACUCUGUCGUAUUCUCUGCCAAAAACACUGGAAAUAAGCAUGACCAAAAAACUUCUUUCUCCAAAGUCCUCCAAAGUGACAUCAGAUAAAUUCAUAUUUUAUGUGUGUGCUCUAAAUUAUUAUUCCCUGCCCUCUGCGUCCCACUGCUCCCUAUUGUUAGCAGUCCAACGCAUUAAGCAUCACUUAAAUGAAAGUAAAAACUGUUUCUGAUUUUUAGAAGUUACAGAUUGGCUGGUCUCGACCUCCUGACCUCAGGUCACCCACCCACUUUGGCCUCCCAAAGUGCAGAGAUUACGGGGGUGAGCCAC
rnacentral:sRNA from 1 species